rnacentral:lncRNA from 1 species
CCAUUUCUUGUGUGAAUGUUUUGUCACACGGGUAUUUUGUGCCUUACUUGUGUCAUUCGUGGAUAAUACAUCGUGGUCGUACUCGAGGCUUAUCUUUUGAGGGCCUCCUGUGAUCGAUAGCGUGACUUCGGUAUUUAUAGCCGGCAGCGAGCUUGAUAAAGUCGCUUUACGGCUCUCUUACACACUCUCUCUGUGUUGGAACACUGUAAUGUUCUGUGAGGUAGGUAAAAAGCCCUGUGCGGUCCUUCCUUGUGUAAACCACAUAAGUAACGUCCCUAAACCAGCCGAACUCCCCCUAUGGCAUAAAACGGGGGGUAACCCCCCCUUAAGCGUAACCCAGGGUGUAGGGUUAGGGGUUACCCAUGUGGCUAUGUACGAAGGGAGGUGGGUAACCUAACCCCGGGGUAGGGG